rnacentral:rRNA from 1 species
AGAGUUUGAUCCUGGCUCAGGAUGAACGCUAGCUACAGGCUUAACACAUGCAAGUCGAGGGGAAACGGCAUUGAGUGCUUGCACUCUUUGGACGUCGACCGGCGCACGGGUGAGUAACGCGUAUCCAACCUUCCCAUUACUGUGGGAUAACCUGCCGAAAGGCAGACUAAUACCGCAUAGUCUUCGAUGAUGGCAUCAGAUUUGAAGUAAAGAUUUAUCGGUAAUGGAUGGGGAUGCGUCUGAUUAGCUUGUUGGCGGGGUAACGGCCCACCAAGGCAACGAUCAGUAGGGGUUCUGAGAGGAAGGUCCCCCACAUUGGAACUGAGACACGGUCCAAACUCCUACGGGAGGCAGCAGUGAGGAAUAUUGGUCAAUGGACGGAAGUCUGAACCAGCCAAGUAGCGUGCAGGAUGACGGCCCUAUGGGUUGUAAACUGCUUUUGUAUGGGGAUAAAGUUAGGGACGUGUCCCUAUUUGCAGGUACCAUACGAAUAAGGACCGGCUAAUUCCGUGCCAGCAGCCGCGGUAAUACGGAAGGUCCAGGCGUUAUCCGGAUUUAUUGGGUUUAAAGGGAGCGUAGGCUGGAGAUUAAGUGUGUUGUGAAAUGUAGACGCUCAACGUCUGAAUUGCAGCGCAUACUGGUUUCCUUGAGUACGCACAACGUUGGCGGAAUUCGUCGUGUAGCGGUGAAAUGCUUAGAUAUGACGAAGAACUCCGAUUGCGAAGGCAGCUGACGGGAGCGCAACUGACGCUUAAGCUCGAAGGUGCGGGUAUCAAACAGGAUUAGAUACCCUGGUAGUCCGCACAGUAAACGAUGGAUGCCCGCUGUUGGUACCUGGUAUCAGCGGCUAAGCGAAAGCAUUAAGCAUCCCACCUGGGGAGUACGCCGGCAACGGUGAAACUCAAAGGAAUUGACGGGGGCCCG